rnacentral:rRNA from 1 species
UGUUCUAACGUGGACCCGUGAUCCGGGUUGCGGACAGUGUCUGGUGGGUAGUUUGACUGGGGCGGUCUCCUCCUAAAGAGUAACGGAGGAGCACGAAGGUUGGCUAAUCCUGGUCGGACAUCAGGAGGUUAGUGCAAUGGCAUAAGCCAGCUUGACUGCGAGCGUGACGGCGCGAGCAGGUGCGAAAGCAGGUCAUAGUGAUCCGGUGGUUCUGAAUGGAAGGGCCAUCGCUCAACGGAUAAAAGGUACUCCGGGGAUAACAGGCUGAUACCGCCCAAGAGUUCAUAUCGACGGCGGUGUUUGGCACCUCGAUGUCGGCUCAUCACAUCCUGGGGCUGAAGUAGGUCCCAAGGGUAUGGCUGUUCGCCAUUUAAAGUGGUACGCGAGCUGGGUUUAGAACGUCGUGAGACAGUUCGGUCCCUAUCUGCCGUGGGCGCUGGAGAACUGAGGGGGGCUGCUCCUAGUACGAGAGGACCGGAGUGGACGCAUCACUGGUGUUCGGGUU